rnacentral:lncRNA from 1 species
CUAGACAGGAUAGACGCCUAGAUGCACGUACACCACUCAGUAUAUACUUAUAAUUGUAUCACUUUUCUUAUACAUUUCUAUAUAUUGUUAUAUAGGUCUUCACGUCAUAAAUUAAGGGUAAACAUAAGUCUGCAUUGUAAUAGUGCAAGGGAGCUAUUAUGCUAAUUUAGAUGCUAGAAACUAGAUAUUAGAAUUAAUUAUAUCAAGUCCAUUGUGAUAUAUUAUGUAUAUCUUCAGAUUUUCCAUAUAUAUAUAUAUAUAUUUUAAUCUCAAUCUUGUUUCCCAGGUUGAUAGUAAAAAAAAAAAAUAAUAAUAAUAAUAAUAAUGCUAGAAACCUGUAAUAAAAUGCGUACACGUUUUCAUUAUAGAUAAAAAAUAUAUAUAUAUAUAUAUAUAUAUAUAUAUAUAUAUAGUUACAUGAGAACAACUGUAAUGUAACUCAUAAGUCAGAUGCAUUUCUGAUUGGAAUCUUGGGUAGUGAGGUGUAGAAAAACAGACAAUAUAAUAAUAAUUGUAGUUAAAUAGCAAGGUCUAUAAUGCAUUGCAAUUGAGAAGUGUACAGUACAGCAUUUCAGAGUUUUUGUAAAUACUGCUGAACACACCUUUCACGUGAUAUUCUUCACUUUAAACGCUUGUAAGUGUACUAUGCAGAAGCUCCAGCAAUAAACAUGUCUGUAGUUUUAGCAGAAGUGUUGUUGUGCAGGUUAAGAUAUAUGAGAAACAGUUACAAGUUGGUUUUUCAUGGUGUUUUCAAACAGCAGUUAUUACUUAGGAAACAAUUACUGCAAAGUGGAAGGGUUAUAGAAGUAUGUUUGAUAAACAAACGCUGACACGCAUUUUAUUGUUUAUAUAUCCCUGAGGCAUAGCUAGUUUCAUUGACAUGCUGAUGUGUUCUUUAAAGCAUUGUCUACACCCGAUUCAAGGUGACUUAUUUGCAUACAAAGAAAGUAAAAAAGGAUAGCAUUGGAACCCAGAAGGAGAUGUGUAAAUAGGGGUUUGUUUGAGGUAACAAGAGGGGUGCAGAAUUAAGACUAUUAUUGUUCUCAUAUCCAGGGGUAAUAUACCAAAGACAUACCUUUUAUUUACAGGAACACAUGUUGGAAACCCUUGAGGAAUAAUAAAAAAAAAAAAAACUAAAUUAAUAUAAAACAAAUAGUAACAUUUGUUUAUUGCAAUCUUUUACCUUAACUUCAUAUUGUCUCCAAACCAUUUAUUUGCUGAGAGAUUACUCCAAUAAUUUGCAGCAUUUCACAUAGAUUAAACCCAUCUUUUUUCCCUUUCCUUUUUGCUAUUAGUCUAAGCUAUUAUAAUACAUUCUUACUGCAUUAGUUUACUAAUCAGUCACCAUCUAUAUUCCAACACAUAGCUAAUCCAUAAUGCAAUUUUACUGAGCACAGUAUUUGUAUUUUUGGUACAUUGCCAAUAUUACAUUUUUUUUAAAAAAUCUCAAAAUAACGGCCCAUGUUUUGUCCACUUUAGUGACCAGGUGUGUUUUUUGGCAUUGCAGAAUAAAUUACCUCUGUCAACUGCCCCAUAGAGGUUAACCUAAAACCAGCUGUCUAAUCUCCCCCUCCAUUCGAGCUUUCCCAACAUAACUAACUUUAUUUUCGUUCCAUUUGAUGUUGUUCCAAUAGAUAUCGGUGAAGGUUUCACACAAAACACAAUGCCAAUACACCAGGUUCCUGUGCUGGCCCUGAAAAAGAGACCUCCGCCAACUGUCCGUGAGACUAGGACAUGUUGAGAGAAAACAACUUGAAAAUAAUCACAAUUUUGCGAUAAAGACAAGGACAAAAUAAACUGUUUAAGAGAAGAAAAAUGCCAUAAAAAAAAGACGUUUAGAAAGAAAAACAAAUAUAGAAUUUAUGUAACGGUAAAAUUAAUUAUAUAAAUAGAACAACUGUAGAUAUCUAUAAGUUUUUUGUUUUAACUAGGUAUAGUACAGAUCUUUGAAAAGUAUAUUACACUGUGUUCGGCAGAACUAGACCUUUUAACAAAAGUAUAAGCGCAUUAAAAGGGGAUUGUCACUUCUCAACUCUGGAAGAUUACCUAUAGCUUGUGUUAGUCCUUUUCAUGAGAUACCAUAUUUCCUUACAGAUUUAUAUGAAAGAUUUAGCAAAUAACAUAAUAAUCCAGUUCAGACAAGGCAAAGCCAGGGAACACUGCAAAUGAGGAUAAAAAGAAACAUUGUUUAAUUUCUCCUCUUCUCUAUGCUCAGGACUGCCAGGUGUAAAGGAGAAAAUGUAUGACAAGGAUUGACAAUAAAUUUAAUGGAGCUACUCAGUUGCACAAUGGGAAUUUCUAUAUUUAAUAUUAUAAUUUUCACACCUCACAAAUACAUACUUGUUAAAUAUAGGGAUACAUAAACAUAACAUUAAAAAUCAAGAGAGGUGACAGUUAGCCUAUAAAGAAACAAUCUAAACUCCAAGCUACCAAAACAAGUUUAGCUUCAUGAAGAGGUUUUGGUGCACAGAUCAUGUCACGGAAGACUCUGUUUAAAGGGACACUAUAGUCACCAGAACAACUACAGCUUAUUGAAUUUGUUCUGGUAAGUAGAAUCAUUACCUUCAGUCUUUUUGCUGUAAACAUUGUCUUUUCAGAGAAAAUGCAGUGUUUACAUUACAGCCUAGUGAUAACUUCACUGGCCACUCCUCAGAUGGCUGUUAGAGAUCCUUCCUGGGUCAUGGCUGCCUAAAAUGCAUCCAAACAUUCAGUGUCUCCUCCCUCUGCAUGCAGACACUGAACUUUCCUCAUAGAGAUUCAUUGAUUCAAUUCAUCUCUAUGAGGAGAUGCUGAUUGGCCAGGGCUGUGUUUGAGUUGUGCUGGCUCUGCCCCUGAUCUGCAUCCUUGUCAGUCUCAGCCAAUCCUAUGGAGAAGCACUAUGAUUGGAUCAGGCUACAACUUCUGAUGUCAGAAGAUCAGGCUACCACUUCUGAUGUCAGCAGACUGCUUGUUUUUCUGAGGCAAACAGCAUGCAGAGUUACAACUUCAGGUUUGAAUACAGUAAUAUUUUUGCUAUAUUUAUGGCGGUUUUAACACUAUAGGGUCAGGAAUACAUGUUUGUUUCCUGACCCUAUAGGGAUCAUUUAAUACUCUGCCAUAUAAGAGUUAAAUCACUUUGUUUAUGCAACCCUAGCGACACCUCCCAUGGCUGUGAUUAGUACAGCCUCACUACACAUGUCUUUUAAAAAGUCUACAUUUUUUAUCUUCCCUUAUUGCAAAGUGUAUAUAAUUUGGAUUUUUUUUUUUUUUUUUUAGCUUAAUGCAGGAAGGUGAAUUGUUAGUGUAGAACUUACCUAAGAUAUUUUGCCUUGACAUGGCAGGUGAGCUUACACUUUAAUGGCCAUUGGAGUGAUACUAAAAAAAACUCCAGUUAUUUAAAUGUGCCUGGGGAUUUGGAAUAGUGCACAAGUUACUUUUUUCUUUGUUUUUGUUUUUUUAUUGUAUGUAUUGGGGCUGAUAUGUGUUAUAAUCAUUGCUGCCACCCAGGAGUAGUGGGAGUUUGAGCGCAGGGCUUAACUUUGUAUAUUUGUAUUUGCUUUUGUAUUACACAGUCAUGUUACAAUGCUGCCGCCCACCCUAUGCCCUAUUUAGGGUUAAUAAGUGUGUAGUGGUUUACCCCUAUGGGUCUUAUUAGAGAUUUUGCUUAUAGCUGAAAGCAGCAAGGUGAAUAGUUAGUAUAGGACCCAUCUAAGAGGUUUUGCCUUGACGUGGUAGGUGAAAUUACACUAUAAUGGCCAUUGGAAUAAUACUAAGACAUGUCCAGUUUUUUAAAUGUGCAUAAGGAUUUGGGAUAGUGUGCAAGUAACUUUUUUUCAGGUUAUUAUUCCAGCUUGGUAACCAAAAUCUGCUAAGGUGUAUGUGAUGGCAUAGAUUUUGUUCUUGUCAUUGAACUGGGACUUCAGGACCUGUUUGACUUUCUGGAGGUACUUGCAUCUUGGAGCCAUUGGUUGGUAGUUAGAUGGUAUUAUUCUCUUGUGAUAAUCCUUUAUGACCACUAUUGGUCUGCCUUGUGUUAGCGUGUCAGAAUGGGAGCUUUUGAAAGUAGCUGGUUCACAUGUGCUGCUUGGCGUUCAUGUAGCAGUUAGUUUCUUCAUCCAGUAGGUUUGGAUCAUGUCAGGUCUUGGUGCUGACACUAUUCUUUGUUAGAUAUUUCCUACUGUGAUGGUGAUUGCUUCCUGUUUUGGGAGCAUCCAGUGGUCUGCUUUCAGGUCUGGUAGCCACUGGACCUUGGUGUUAUAUAAGUUAUAUUCAAAGGCUUGGCCUGCAGUUAUGGGAGGGGCAUGUUACCCUACUUAAACCCCCCUACUCACAUUCCUCCGUCCCGUACGUGCUUUUAGCAAUUCACAUGUCCCCACCCUCCACUCCCUCUAUCUAUACUUUUCAUUACACCUCAUGGAUGGGCCCUCUUUUAUUACAGGUCUACCGCGACGUCGGUUCCGGCACACCUCAACCGACUUAUUUCCCCCUUUACUAUGCUACUCUUUGUAUGCUUCCUAUACGACCUUAUUUGCUUCUCACACAAAUGAUGUUUCUUUCUUCCAGAUAUUCUUCCAGUACUGUUCAGUUUCAGCUUUGGGUGGCUCUGGAGUGGAUUCCUUGUUACACUGCAGCUGUGCCUGUAUCUUGGAUGGAUCUUGGUAAAUACAGCAUUUAUUCUCUUAGCCUCGUCUGAUUAGCCACAACACUAGUUAAAAGAGAAGACAACUUAGCUCUUGUAGGUACUGAUCCAGUUCAAUGGAGCAGCCUAACACCCAAGUCUUGUGUCUCUCUUAUCCGGUAAAGUCAAAUAUGGCAAAAGGGUAGGUGCAGUGCUUGUGUAGUCCUUGGAAGAUAAAUGCAAUGACAAAAAGGAAAACAUUAGGGGAACUGACAGUGCAGUAAAUAAAAUAUCUGGUGGGGAAUGAAGUAUGACUGUUACAGGGUUUUCUGUGAAUAAAAUUUGUAAUUUGUCAGCACCAGGACUCAUGGACUCUUAAUCUGGCUCUGCCUACGUAGUCUGUGUUAUGUGGUUUGGAAUUGCUGCCAUUUUAUAUCUUUUUUUUUUGUAUACUUUGGAAUAUUGCACUUUUUUUUGCCUGUCAUUUAGGCUGGUCUUUAUGUUAUCAUAUAUUUCAGGACAUAUUUUGGCUGCCACAUGACUCAUUAAAAUUAAAGGAACAGUACACUCAUACCCACAUAAGAAUAAUUGUGAUAAUUUCUGGCCACUACAGGCAUUCCUGUUGGUUUGCUUAUUGAUAGCAGUGAAUAUUUCUCAUGUUAGGACAUUACUUGUGGAAAACAUUUUUUUUCUGUAUCACCACAUUGUUAUUAUUGCCUACAUUUGGUCUAUUUGUGCUUAGACGUGCAGUUUCCUUUUUUAUUUAUUUUUUAUUGGCAUUAUUAAAAAAAUAAUAAUAAUAAUUGACAAAUCCUACUCUUUUUGAGUGCGGAUUCUAUUAUUUUUGUUGUAUCUCUAUUAGUGGGUACUGUGAAGAAAUCCCUCUUUUAUGUGUAAUAUUUCUUCCCUACCGAACAGAGACCACCCCCCUAGCUUGUUAAACUUCAAAGAAUGCCUCAAUUGAACCCUCUAUCUGUGCGGUUGGCAUUCGUACUACCGAACGCCACAUGGCUGAGAAAACGGCGGUCAUCUUUUUUCAUGCGAACAAAGGCAGCGGGACUUGGUCGUAGAGUGUCUGGAACUAAAAUCGGACAAUCGACUUCCCGAAAACCGGUCUCAACAUGCGAACGCUGGAUCUCUAUUUCCCGAAAAGCUAGAAGAGCGCUGUCCGGUACUUUUGUGCAUUCGAAUGAGGGGAACAAUCACUGCUAAGAGCCAGGGGAAUCCAUUCGUGAAAUUGUUUGGUUUUUAUCACCUAACUGAAUAGACCAGCAAAACCACCCAAACUCCUGGAACUAUUUUGGGCAGCCACCUCGCGGUUAGCUGGUCACAAAAGACUUCCAUACUUUUUGAGAACCCCUGAACCGAUCUGGGUGAAAUUUGAAUAUGUUGGUCACCCAGAUCGGGGCUAUCAGGGGACAUUGUUUGUGGGGAUACCCCAUGCCUAAAGGGGUGUUCUGAAUAUUGGGGAAAAUUGUAAUUUUUCUGCCUGGAGAUAAUCACAUUAUUACUUUAUCAGACUUGAUUAUCUCCAGGACUAGGGGAGGGAAUUGUAUGUUUGUGCUGGGUGUGUUUUACGGUUUUCCUAUAACUGAUUGGUGGUACUGUGUCCCACCCUGUGGGAUGUCCCCUUGCAUGGGAACUUGCAUAAAAGCCACUGUGUGGUCAUUAAAAGCCAGUUCUGUUGUAC